rnacentral:rRNA from 1 species
UACGUAGGGUGCAAGCGUUAAUCGGAAUUACUGGGCGUAAAGCGUGCGCAGGCGGUGAUGUAAGACAGGUGUGAAAUCCCCGGGCUUAACCUGGGAACUGCAUUUGUGACUGCAUUGCUGGAGUGCGGCAGAGGGGGGAUGGAAUUCCGCGUGUAGCAGUGAAAUGCGUAGAUAUGCGGAGGAACACCGAUGGCGAAGGCAAUCCCCUGGGCCUGCACUGACGCUCAUGCACGAAAGCGUGGGGAGCAAACAGG